rnacentral:rRNA from 1 species
UACGGAGGGUGCAAGCGUUGUUCGGAAUCACUGGGCGUAAAGCGCGUGUAGGCGGCUUCGUAAGUCUGGUGUGAAAGCCCGGGGCUCACCCCCGGAAGUGCACUGGAAACUGCAAGGCUCGAGUACCGGAGAGGAGGGUGGAAUUCCUGGUGGAGGGGGGAAAUGCGUAGAGAUCAGGAGGAACACCGGUGGCGAAGGCGGCCCUCUGGACGGAUACUGACGCUGAGACGCGAAAGCGUGGGGAGCAAACAGG